rnacentral:rRNA from 1 species
UACGUAUGGUGCAAGCGUUAUCCGGAUUUACUGGGUGUAAAGGGAGCGCAGGCGGCACGGCAAGCCUGAUGUGAAAGCCCGCGGCCCAACCGCGGGACUGCAUUGGGAACUACCGGGUUGGAGUGCCGGAGAGGUAGGCGGAAUUCCUAGUGUAGCGGUGAAAUGCGUAGAUAUUAGGAGGAACACCAGUGGCGAAGGCGGCCUACUGGACGGUGACUGACGCUGAGGCUCGAAAGCGUGGGGAGCAAACAGG